CCCCUUGGUGUGGAUCUGUUUCAUUCAACAAAAUGGAAGGGUUCCCUGAGACCUGGGCAAAGACAUCUCCUGGGUUGGGCACCCCUCUUUAGGAGAUUCCUGGCCAUCCUCCAGCCAGGUCCCUUCCCAAAGGACAAGGACUCCAGGACAGCUCCAAACAGGCCAUAACAGUAUGAGUGUUUCUACAUGUGUGACUGUACACCAAGUACACGCUGGACUCCCUGCCCCAGGAGCCAGAAGAGAGAAUCAGAUCCCCUUGAACUCCAUUGUGAACCUCCAUGUGGUCUUCUGGAAGAGCAGUCAAUAUUCCCAGCCACUAAGCCAUCUCUCCAGCUUCUCAAGGAUGUAGCCCUAGUUGGCCCAGAACUCAAUAUAUAGGCCAGACUAUCCCUGAAUUCAUAGAGACCCACUUGCCUCUGUCUCCUGACUGCUGGGAUUAAAGGUGGAUGCCAUUACCUUAUUUUUUUUAAAUCAUUUAUUUACUUUAUUUAUAUGAGUACAUUGUCACUGUCUUCAGACACACCAGAAGAGGACAUCUGAUCCCAUUACAGACGGGAUUUGAACUCAGGACCCUCUGAAGAGAAGUCAGGGCUCUUAACCACUGAGCCAUCUCUCCAGCCCCCCCCCCCCAUCAUCUUAUUUUGCCACAUUUUAUUUUGACAUAGGAUUUCCUUCUGAGCCUGGAGUUUAUGGAUUCGCCAAGACUAGCUGGCCAACCAGCUCCGGUUCUCCUGUUGUUUCCCCAGUGGUAGGCUCACGGAUAGGUGCCAUCCAGCCUAGGCUUUUCAUGGGUAUUGGAAAUUUGAACUCAGGCCCCCGUGCUUGUACAUCAAACACUUUAUUGCCAACCAUCUAUCCCCUCAGUCUGGAGUCUGAAUAUCUUCUGUGGAGUCUGGACCUCCAGGGAGUUACCAUGGUUCACUUGUAAAGGUAAGCAUAUGGCGCACGUUUAUUGAUAAUGGUCAGAUUAAUUUUUGUGAGACUUAAAUUUUAGGCAUAUUUACCGUCAUUGUGCAUAGUCUGGCCUAGUAUCCUCUAAAUGGUGGGUGGACUUCGCAUCCGAAAUGUAUGUCUGCUUAUUAUUUGGGGUCUCACUCUGUGCCCACAAAGGCCUGGGACUUACCACGUAAACCAGGUUGGUUUCCAGUGCUCAUCAGGUCUCUUGCCUUUGUCUCCCAAGUAUUGAGAUGGUUGCUGGCAUAGCUCACCGUGCCUGGCCUGUUUAACUCUGUUACAAGUCAAUGACUUUGACAUAUUCUCAGAGUUUCACAGCCAUCAUCAUAAUCUUUUUUUUUUUUAAAAGAAAGGGUCUCAUAUAGCCUAGGCUAGUCUCAAAUUUCCUAUCUAGUCAAGGGUAUCCUCAAACCCCUGGUAUCCCUGACUCUGCCUUAAGACUACUUAUGUUUGUUUAUUUGUUUGUUUAUUUGAGAUGGGGUUUCCCGUGUAGCCCUGGCUGUCCUAGAACUAACUCAUUCUGAGGACCAGGCUGGUCUCAAACUCAGACAUCUGCCUGACUCUGCCUCUGGAGUGCUGGGAUUGAAGAUGUGCGUCAUCACUGCCUGGUAUGUGUGCUGUUUUUACGGCUGGGCAUAAAGCUGGCUGGCAUCAUGUUGCCAAGGUUCACCCACUUGUAGCACAUCAGUGCUCCGUUCCUUUUUUGUGGCUGAGUAAUAUUUCAUUAUGCAGAUGAUAUACAUUUUAUCCAUUAAUUAAUUAGUUAAUGGACACGAGAUAUUUAGACUUUUGGGACACCGUGGAUAAUAUAGCUAAACAUAUUCAUGAACAAGGGUUGUGAGAGCAUAUAUUUUCAUUUUCCUUGUUAUAUACCUAGGAAUGGAAUUUGGGUUACAUAGAAAUUCAAUACUUAACUUUUCUAACUAAAACAGGGUCUCCUGUUGUACAGGCCUUGACCCCGAACUCCUAAUCCUCCAACCCUACACUCACAGAUGCUGGGGUCACAGGCAUGGGCCACCACGCUCAGUGCUUAACCUUUUAAGAAACUUCAGACUGGGGCCUGGAGAGAUGGCUCAGUGGUUAAGAGCACUGACUGCUUUUCCAGAGGUCCUGAGUUCAAUUCCCAGGAACCACAUGGUGGCUCACAACCAUCUGUAAUGAGAUCUGAUGCCCUCUUCUGGUGUGUCUGAAGACAGCUACAGUGUACUUAUAUAUAAUAAAUAAAUCUUUAAAAAAAAAAAAGAAACUUCAGACUGUGUUCCAAAGAGGCUGUACCAUUUCCCUUCCCGCCAAUGAAGUAUGAAAAUUCCAGUUUCUCUUGGCCCUUGUCAACCUUCGUUCAUUGUUUAUUUUGAGUGUGGUCACGCUAAGGAUAUUAGCGCUCUGUGGUUUUGAUUUGCAUCUCUAUGACAACUGGUAUCCUUGUAUUUUCAUAGCUUACUUGCUCAUGUUUGUAUCUUGUCUGAGGAAACAUCUAUUUGGAACCAUCUCUUUCUUUUUUUUUUUUUUUUUUUGGUUCUUUUUUUCGGAGCUGGGGACCGAACCCAGGGCCUUGCGCUUCCUAGGCAAGCGCUCUACCACUGAGCUAAAUCCCCAACCCUGGAACCAUCGCUUUCUAAGAGGUCAGCAGCCAUCCAGUUGUAAGGCCACUUGUGACACACACAGCUAGUUUCUUACCUAAGGAUGGAGAUUUGAACUUGGCUCCCCAUGGUUGCACAUCAAGUCCCUUACUCACUGAGAUGUCUCCUCAGCCCUACUUUUUCUUUUAGCUAGAAUGUACAGGCUUGUAUGUUGAUAGCGAUAUUAAAAAAUGAAGUAAGAACUAAUAAAACUGAAGAUAAGGAGCCAAUAAAGUCAAUAAAACCACAAUUUUGGUUUCGUUUUAUAACAAGAGAAAGAUAGAAAAAACCCUCUAGUAAGACUGAGAAACAGAAAAAAUACAAUUGUAAAAAUUAUAACAGCUGAUAAAAUAGAGGUACCGAAGACAUCAAGUAAAGGUAAUCUGUAACAGUACUUGAAUGGAAUUUUAUUUAUUAUGUGUGUCUGAGCACACGCCAUGUGUGGAGGUAAGAGGACAAGUUGCUCAUUCCUUUCAUCUUUAUGUGGCUGGAUGGGGCUGAGGUCACCAGGCUUGCAUGACAAGAACCUGGACUGCUGAGUUAGUCUGCAGGCCCUGUAGCUCAGCAAUGCCUUUAAAAAGAGACAACUGGAGGCUGGGCAUGGAGCUCAGGGAUAGAGCACUUGCUAAGUCUGUCUCUUGCUAAGCCUGUGCACGGGCCUGAGUUUCAUCCCAGCACUGCCCAAAACAAAAGAAAGGCGGCAACUUUGAAAAAAAUGACCUAAUACACGUGUGCACUUAUCACCAUAAACAUGUCUCAUUCGCUAGUUAUGCUCCACUCUGUACAUCCGGGUAAGCAGUACUGGAUACUCAGGAGAACGUUACAUUGUAUCACAUAUAAACUAUUCCAGAGGAAAAACCUCCAGGGAAAGCAACUGCUGUUCGUUGGUGAGACAGGGGCAGUUUGAACAGAGGAAAUUACAGGCCAGGCUCCCGUUCUCCCAACCGAGGCAGAAGUCCUAGGUAAAUAUUAACAAGCCAGACCCAGCAGUAUAUUAAAACGAUAACAGAAAAACAAACUCAAUCAAAUUACAGUCAUCUAAGGCUUUAUCCCACGAAUAAGAUGUGGGUUGUGAUGAGAAGACUCCCAGUGAGGCUUACAGCAUUAGUAAACUGAGGAGAAAACGAAGGGAUGGUCUCAAGCUCAGGAGAGCUACAGAAAACUCAGCAUUCUUUUUGAUAGUUGCUAUUGUUUUAGUUUCUUGAGACAAGGCCUUGUUUGGUCCAGGCUGCCUUUGAAUUCCUUGUAUAGCCGAGGGGUAGGUUUGAACACCUGAUCUUGUUGCUGCCAGCUCUUGAGUAGUAGGAUGAUAGGCUUGCAACACACACCUGGCUCUUGGACACUUUUGUUUUGUUUUUGUUUUUCCAGACAGGGUCUCUCUGUGUAGCCCUGGCUAUCCUGGAACUCACUCUGUAGACCAGGCUGUCCUCAGAACUCAAGAGAUCAACCUGCCUCUGUCUCCUGUGGGCUGGGAUAAAAAGGCGUGCGCCACCACCUGGCUUCGACAUUCUUUUUUUGUUUCAACUUUUUAUUCCAUCCAGUGUGUGUGUACUGACAGGUGUGCAGAGGUAUGCAUGUGGGGGGACAGAGAAGACACUGAUGCAGUUGACUUUCUCCUUCCACUGUGUGGGCCCCAGGGAUCAUCAGACUUUGGCAGCAAGCCCUCCUACCCCCUGAGCAAUUUUGCCAACCCUUCUAAUUCUUUUUGAGAGCUCUUAGUACAUCAAGAUCAGAAGGGAGACUCCCCUGUACGUAGAUUGGAACCUCGAUUACUAUGUCACCAUCUGACCUCACUCUUCCCUCCCAGCCGCUUCUCUCUGUCCUCUUUCCCUCAGGGAACAGCAGCUAAGGCCUUCAACUCUCUAUUGCCUGACAUCUGUCUUUUGUUCUCCGCCAUCCCAGUUCAGAUUCAUCUGGAAAUCUCAAGGGUCCGUCCUUCAGAAAGUAUCCAGCAUCCAACCACAUUUCCCCAUCUGCAUGGCCACCCUGCUCCAAACCAUUGCCACCGCCACCGUCUCACCGCGGAGAUCUCCUUCCUUGAGUAUGAAGACACAGCUCAUCAUGGUUGAAAGGCAAGACAGCAGGACCAUGGUGUAGCUGGUCACACUGCCUCUGCAGUAAGGAAGCAGGAGACAGGGAAUGCUGGUGCUCAGCUGCCUCACUCCUCUCCCCACUUGAUCCCAGCCCAUGAGAUGCUACCACUCGUGUUCAAGGUAGGUCUUCCCUCCUCCAGUAAACCGCCCUGGGAACUCAUUCAUAGACAGGCCAAUAGGUGUACCUCUUACUGAGACCAAAUCAAGUCAGGUUGACAAUGAGGAUGAACCUUUCCAAGCAUACCCCUUGUCAAUUUGGCACCCAAAUAUAUCACUUUAAAUUUUUUUUUAAUUUUGUAUGCACUGUGCACAUGUGGAGGUCAGGGGACAAUUUUCAGAAGUUGGUUCUCUCCUACCACCAGGUGGGUCCCAGGGAUCUAACUCAGAUCAUCAGGGUUGGCAGUAGGUGCCUUUACCUGUGAGUGAUCUCACAUCAAACAUAUCACUUUUAACUUUAGGCAUCUUAUAAUGCAAAAUGCAUUUAUUCAAAACUUAAUAGAGGGCUGGAGAGAUGGCUUAGUGGUUAAGAGCACUAGCUGCUCUUCCAGAGGACCCGGGUUCAUCCCCAAGCACCCACAUGGUAGCUCAUAAUAGUCUGUAACUCCAGUUCCAGGGGAUCUGACACCAACGCACAUGAAAUAAAAUUGUUGGUUUUUUUUUUUUUUUUUGGUUCUUUUUUUUGGAGCUGGGGACCGAACCCAGGGCCUUGCGCUUCCUAGGUAAGCGCUCUUACCACUGAGCUAAAUCCCCAGCCCCCAUAAAAUUGUUUUUUUAAAAGAACACUGGUUGCUCUUGUAAGAAGACCUAGGUUCAGUUCCAGUACCACAUGGUGGCUCACAACUGCUGUAACUCCUGUUCCAGGGGACACAACGCCCUCUCCUGGACCUCCAUGGGUGUGGUACACAUACAUGCA